rnacentral:rRNA from 1 species
AGCAUAUCAAUAAGCGGAGGAAAAGAAACCAACAGGGAUUGCCUUAGUAACGGCGAGUGAAGCGGCAAAAGCUCAAAUUUGAAAUCUGGCACCUUCGGUGUCCGAGUUGUAAUUUGAAGAAGGUGACUUUGGGAUUGGCUCUUGUCUAAGUUCCUUGGAACAGGACGUCACAGAGGGUGAGAAUCCCGUGCGAUGAGAUGACCAAUCCUAUGUAAAGUGCUUUCGAAGAGUCGAGUUGUUUGGGAAUGCAGCUCUAAGUGGGUGGUAAAUUCCAUCUAAAGCUAAAUAUUGGCGAGAGACCGAUAGCGAACAAGUACAGUGAUGGAAAGAUGAAAAGAACUUUGAAAAGAGAGUGAAAAAGUACGUGAAAUUGUUGAAAGGGAAGGGCUUGAGAUCAGACUUGGUAUUUUGCAUUCCUUACCUUCGUGGUGGGGUUCCUUGCAGUUUACUGGGCCAGCAUCGGUUUGGAUGGUGGGAUAAUGGCAUUGGAAUGUGGCUCUGCUUCGGUAGAGUGUUAUAGCCAGUGUUGAUACCGCCUGUCUAGACCGAGGACUGCGUCUUUGACUAGGAUGCUGGCAUAAUGAUCUUAAGUCGCCCGUCUUGAAACACGGACCAAGGAGUCUAACGUCUAUGCGAGUGUUUGGGUGUAAAACCCGUACGCGUAAUGAAAGUGAACGUAGGUGAGAGCUCUUUUGAGUGCAUCAUCGACCGAUCCUGAUGUCUUCGGAUGGAUUUGAGUAAGAGCAUAGCUGUUGGGACCCGAAAGAUGGUGAACUAUGCCUGAAUAGGGUGAAGCCAGAGGAAACUCUGGUGGAGGCUCGUAGCGGUUCUGACGUGCAAAUCGAUCGUCGAAUUUGGGUAUAGGGGCGAAAGACUAAUCGAACCAUCUAGUAGCUGGUUCCUGCCGA